rnacentral:rRNA from 1 species
AGAGUUUGAUCAUGGCUCAGGAUGAACGCUAGCUACAGGCUUAACACAUGCAAGUCGAGGGGAAACGACAUCGAAAGCUUGCUUUUGAUGGGCGUCGACCGGCGCACGGGUGAGUAACGCGUAUCCAACCUGCCCACCACUUGGGGAUAACCUUGCGAAAGUAAGACUAAAUACCCAAUGACGUCUCUAGAAGACAUCUGAAGGAGAUUAAAGAUUAUCGGUGAUGGAUGGGGAUGCGUCUGAUUAGCUUGGUUGGCGGGGUAACGGCCCACCAAGGCGACGAUCAGUAGGGGUUCUGAGAGGAAGGUCCCCCACAGUUGGAACUGAGACACGGUCCAAACUCCGUACGGAGGC